rnacentral:tRNA from 1 species
GGAGUGUUAAGUUAUUGUAGACUAUGGUAUUUCAAGUAUCAAAGAGAUUUAUAUCACACUUUG